rnacentral:rRNA from 1 species
GGCCUUGACAUCCAGAGAACUUAGCAGAGAUACUUUGGUGCCUUCGGGAACUCUGAGACAGGUGCUGCAUGGCUGUCGUCAGCUCGUGUUGUGAAAUGUUGGUUAAGUCCGCAACGAGCGCAACCCUUAUCCUUUGUUGCCAGCGGUUCGGCCGGGAACUCAAAGGAGACUGCCGGUGAUAAACCGGAGGAAGGUGGGGAUGACGUCAAGUCAUCAUGGCCCUUACGGCCAGGGCUACACACGUGCUACAAUGGCGCAUACAAAGAGAAGCGACCUCGCGAGAGCAAGCGGACCUCAUAAAGUGCGUCGUAGUCCGGAUUGGAGUCUGCAACUCGACUCCAUGAAGUCGGAAUCGCUAGUAAUCGUAGAUCAGAAUGCUACGGUGAAUACGUUCCCGGGCCUUGUACACACCGCCCGUCACACCAUGGGAGUGGGUUGCAAAAGAAGUAGGUAGCUUAACCUUCGGGAGGGCGCUUACCACUUUGUGAUUCAUGACUGGGGUGAAGUCGUAACAAGGUAAGCGUAGACGU